UUUGUCUAGGUUUUCUUCACGCUUACAACAUCUGAGGGAGCAUCAUAAGCGAAAAGCCCAGACGAAAUGCUUAUCCAAGCUCAUGGAGGAUGAGAAACGUGACACACAAUCCUCAGGAUUACCAGCCCAAGAAAACCUGAGUAUCUCAUCAGAAGAGAGGUCUGAAAUACUUCCAGCCUCCAACAGCUCGGCCUCAGGAAGAUCUCAUGAAGAGGAGGCCUCAUCAGAAUCUCCUCCUGAGGUCCUGGCACCCUGUAACAGUU